rnacentral:rRNA from 1 species
UACAGAGGUCUCAAGCGUUGUUCGGAUUCACUGGGCGUAAAGGGUGCGUAGGCGGCGCGGUAAGUCGGGUGUGAAAUCUCGGGGCUUAACUCCGAAACUGCAUUCGAUACUGUCGGGCUUGAGGACUGGAGAGGAGACUGGAAUUCACGGUGUAGCAGUGAAAUGCGUAGAUAUCGUAAGGAAGACCAGUGGCGAAGGCGGGUCUCUGGACAGUUCCUGACGCUGAGGCACGAAGGCCAGGGGAGCAAACGGG